rnacentral:rRNA from 1 species
GAUGAACGCUGGCGGCGUGCUUAACACAUGCAAGUCGAACGGUGAACGAGGGAGCUUGCUCCCUCCGGAUCAGUGGCGAACGGGUGAGUAACACGUGAGCAAUCUGCCCCGAACUCUGGGAUAAGCGCUGGAAACGGCGUCUAAUACCGGAUACGAGCUGCGAAGGCAUCUUCAGCAGCUGGAAAGAAUUUCGGUCCGGGAUGGGCUCGCGGCCUAUCAGCUUGUUGGUGAGGUAAUGGCUCACCAAGGCGUCGACGGGUAGCCGGCCUGAGAGGGUGACCGGCCACACUGGGACUGAGACACGGCCCAGACUCCUACGGGAGGCAGCAGUGGGGAAUAUUGCACAAUGGGCGAAAGCCUGAUGCAGCAAUGCCGCGUGAGGGACGACGGCCUUCGGGUUGUAAACCUCUUUUAGCAGGGAAGAAGCGAAAGUGACGGUACCUGCAGAAAAAGCACCGGCUAACUCUGUGCCAGCCGCCGCUGUAACAC